rnacentral:rRNA from 1 species
CUUUUUCUUUCACCGGAGCUUGCUCCCCGAAAGAAAAAGAGUGGCGAACGGGUGAGUAACACGUGGGUAACCUGCCCAUCAGAAGGGGAUAACACUUGGAAACAGGUGCUAAUACCGUAUAACACUAUUUUCCGCAUGGAAGAAAGUUGAAAGGCGCUUUUGCGUCACUGAUGGAUGGACCCGCGGUGCAUUAGCUAGUUGGUGAGGUAACGGCUCACCAAGGCAACGAUGCAUAGCCGACCUGAGAGGGUGAUCGGCCACACUGGGACUGAGACACGGCCCAGACUCCUACGGGAGGCAGCAGUAGGGAAUCUUCGGCAAUGGACGAAAGUCUGACCGAGCAACGCCGCGUGAGUGAAGAAGGUUUUCGGAUCGUAAAACUCUGUUGUUAGAGAAGAACAAGGAUGAGAGUAAAAUGUUCAUCCCUUGACGGUAUCUAACCAGAAAGCCACGGCUAACUACGUGCCAGCAGCCGCGGUAAUACGUAGGUGGCAAGCGUUGUCCGGAUUUAUUGGGCGUAAAGCGAGCGCAGGCGGUUUCUUAAGUCUGAUGUGAAAGCCCCCGGCUCAACCGGGGAGGGUCAUUGGAAACUGGGAGACUUGAGUGCAGAAGAGGAGAGUGGAAUUCCAUGUGUAGCGGUGAAAUGCGUAGAUAUAUGGAGGAACCCAGUGGCGAGGCGGCUCUCUGGUCUGUACUGACGCUGAGCUCGAAGCGUGGGGAGCAACAGAU